GACGAACGCUGGCGGCGCGCCUAACACAUGCAAGUCGAACGGAGCUGAGAGAAGCUUGCUUUUCUUAGCUUAGUGGCGAACGGGUGAGUAACGCGUGAGUAACCUGCCCUGGAGUGGGGGACAACAGUUGGAAACGACUGCUAAUACCGCAUAAGCCCACGAUCCGGCAUCGGAUUGAGGGAAAAGGAUUUAUUCGCUUCAGGAUGGACUCGCGUCCAAUUAGCUAGUUGGUGAGGUAACGGCCCACCAAGGCGACGAUUGGUAGCCGGACUGAGAGGUUGAACGGCCACAUUGGGACUGAGACACGGCCCAGACUCCUACGGGAGGCAGCAGUGGGGGAUAUUGCACAAUGGGGGAAACCCUGAUGCAGCGACGCCGCGUGGAGGAAGAAGGUCUUCGGAUUGUAAACUCCUGUCGUUAGGGACGAUAAUGACGGUACCUAACAAGAAAGCACCGGCUAACUACGUG
rnacentral:rRNA from 1 species